CCUACGGGAGGCAGCAGUGGGGAAUUUUGGACAAUGGGCGCAAGCCUGAUCCAGCCAUUCCGCGUGAGUGAAGAAGGCCUUCGGGUUGUAAAGCUCUUUCGCAAGGGAAGAAAGAUUACUCUCUAACAUAGAGUGAUUAUGACGGUACCUUGAUAAGAAGCACCGGCUAACUACGUGCCAGCAGCCGCGGUAAUACGUAGGGUGCGAGCGUUAAUCGGAAUUACUGGGCGUAAAGCGUGCGCAGGCGGUUUUGUAAGUCAGAUGUGAAAUCCCCGAGCUCAACUUGGGAACUGCGUUUGAAACUACAAGACUAGAAUAUGUCAGAGGGGGGUAGAAUUCCACGUGUAGCAGUGAAAUGCGUAGAGAUGUGGAGGAAUACCAAUGGCGAAGGCAGCCCCCUGGGAUAAUAUUGACGCUCAUGCACGAAAGCGUGGGGAGCAAACAGGAUUAGAUACCCUGGUAGUCCACGCCCUAAACGAUGUCUACUAGUUGUUGGUGGAGUAAAAUCCAUGAGUAACGCAGCUAACGCGUGAAGUAGACCGCCUGGGGAGUACGAUCGCAAGAUUAAAACGUCAAAAGAUAGUACGACGNGAGAGAGCGACGACGACGACGACGGAGGGAGGAGG
rnacentral:rRNA from 1 species